rnacentral:lncRNA from 1 species
CCCCUGCGCCGCCGCUGCCAACCCGGAAGGAGCCCGGAGGGGCCCGGGCGGCCAGGGCGCCCCCGCCAGGAGGCCCGCCAGGUGUCCACCUGAGCCCCACGCCCUGCGCCGCGGGGCCCUUUUGGGGGCGGGGUGCCAGCUCCGAGGUGUCCUCCCACGGGCUGUAGACUGGGAAACUGAGGCCCGGGCCACGGUCCCAGACGCAGCCGGGACCCGAACCCACCUCACCUGAGCGAAUGAUAUCCGGGACUCAUCCUUUUUCGACACCUUUGCGGGAUCCAGCCCUCCAAGGAAAGCUUCCUGAGCAGUGCGCGCCACGUGUAUUGGGCACCUCACCGCGGCCACUUCACAUCCUA